CGGCUAUGAUGAAUUUUAUUCCAAUCAUUCGCAGUUUCCACCAUAAAGACUUCUUAGUCUUAAUGAUGGCUGAAGAUCCUUCCUUGGAUGUCUGAGCUG
rnacentral:snoRNA from 1 species